UUGCAUAACUCAUAUUUAAAGAAGAAUUUCAUCCCUUUUAUUCCUGAAAAGUGAUCAUCUAGACUUGCUCCUAGACCUCAAGUGAAUGGAAAUCCACUCUCCUCCAGCCUAGGUCAUUCAUUCCUUUACUAGAAUAAUUACAAUAUUUAGGAAGUCUUUCGUCUUCUCCAGUUGAAAUCUUCCUUCACUUCAAAGACACCCUUUCUUCCUUGUUAUGUCCUCAGGGGCCAAGCCCAUCAAGUCCAAAUUCUCUUCCAUAAGGCAGGCUUCAAAUACUUAAAGGCAACAUUUGGGUUUCAAACAAGUAUUAUAUGCAUUCUCCUGGAACCUUUGUACUGUGUCUGAGGUCUGUAAAAAUAUAAUUUUUUCCAAAAUUUAUCUUCAAUCAACAAUGUGAACUUAGUGCUCAGAUUCUAGUAGCAUAGAGAUCUCUUAUGUAUAGACACAUAUUAGGGUUUUUUAAAAAAAAAAAAGUCCCAAUAUGAUAAGGGAGGUAGUUCCAUAAAGUAGGUGUCUCUCUCCACUUUGUAAAAUUCCAUCUUUAGGAGGGUUGGAGGAUAGGGAAGGUUCCUUUUUCCCCAGCUGUGGCUGUUUAACAGAUGACUCAUUUUAAUUCUCAAUGAAUCCUUACUCUUUUGAACUCAAAUGACCUGCAGUUUCUGUCCAACUUGAUUCUAGAGACAUGAAAUAGUAAUUUCAAUAAUGCCUUAAUCUCUAAUCCUUUCAAUAAGUAGGGAAUUGAAUGCUCAUCCCUCAGAAAAGAAUCUGCUAAACAUUUUCAGGAGCAGGGAAUAUAAUUUUAUUAUAGGGAUUAGGUUCUUUCCCUUGUCGGUGUUGAAAUUCUUCUUACUAACUGUAUGGGCUCAGGUAAGUCAUUUCCCCUCUCUGGGUCUUAACUUUCCUCAUCUGUAAAAUUAGGAGUUUGAACAAAAUAGUCUCAAAAGUCCUUUCUAUUUCUAAAUUUAUGAUUUUGAUUUUUAAAAAAGAUAUAUAUAUUUUCCCCUAAUUACAUGCUAAGAAUUUUUAAACAUUUUAAAAAAAGUUUUGAGUUCCAAAUUCUCUUUCCCUCUUUUUUUCCACCUCCUCCCUGAGAUAAUAAACAAUCAGAAAUAGGUUAUAUAUGUGCAAUUAUGCAAAACAUUUCCAUAUUGCUCAUUUUGUACAAGAAGACUGGGGCGGGGAAGCAAUGAAAGAAAGAAAAUGAAAAAAUAGCAUGUUAACCUCUGUAUCCAACCAAUAUCAGUUCUUUCUCUGAAGGCAGUAUGCUUUAUUAUUAGUCCUUUGGGAUUGUCUUGGAUCAUUGUAUUGCUGAGAAUGUCAUUCAAAAUUCUUCAUUAUACAAUACUGUUGUUAUUAAGUACAGUGUUCUGGUUCUGUUCACUUCACCAUCCCUCAGUUCACAUGAGUCCAGGUUUUUCUGAAAUCAUCCUGCUUGUAAUAUUCCAUUACAUUAACAUAUCAUAACUUGUUCACCCAUUCCCCAAUUGAUAGACAUUCCUUCCAUUUCCAAUUUUUAACCAGCACAUAUAAAUAUUUUUGUACAAUAGGUUCUCCCCCCUUUAAAAAAAAAAAACAUAUAUUCUUGUGAUAUAGAUCUAGCAUUGGUGUUGUUGGAUCAAAGGGUAUAUGUGCCCUUUCGACAAUUCAAAUCGUUCUCCAGGAUGAUUGGAUCAGUUCAUAAUUCCACCAAUAAUGUAUUAGUAUUCCAGUUUUCCCGACAUUCUCUUCAAUGUUUUCCUUUUUUGUUGUAUUAGCCAACUUGAUAGCUAUGAGUUCUAUAAUUUCUGAAGAUAAUUUUUUAUUUAUAUAAAUGAAAUAAUUUUCAUAGUAAUUUUCAUUCAUAAAUUUGAGAAUGGAAUAAUUGUGUUGCAAAUCUUAAGCACUAUGUUAAUUGUCAGGUACUAUUGUAAUGGGCUGAGGCUCGAGUUGAUGCACUGAGGUCCCAAGCAUGUGAGGCUAAAUAGUAAUUGGACCAUACUCUAUUAAUAUAUAUGCUUGGAGAAAGAAUGACCCUCCCCACAGUCAGUGUAGGCUCGAUGUGGUGUAACAAACAUGAAUUGUACAUGCAAGUAGCGGUAUAACAAAAAUAGAAAUCAAUAUAGUGUUGUAAAAGAUUGCCAGAAGUUCUAGAAGGAGGGUAUGUAAACAAUAGUCACACAUACGCCUUCUUCAGCAGCCAAGAGAUAGUCCAAAAACAAUCUAUUGUCCAUUGCUUCACAUGUCAGGGAAUCCAAUGAUUCCCCCAAGUUUUUGAAGUCCUGCAAAAGUCUUUUUAUGUGUUAGGGAAUCCAAUGAUUCCAGCAGAUUUUGAAGUCCUGUAACAGUCUUAUCAUGUUUCAGAAAAUCCAAUGAUUCCUGAGGGUUUUCAAAUCCUACAAUAAUCUUAUUGUCUCAGAGAAUCCAAUGAUUCCCAAGGGUUUUCAAGUCCUCCAACAAUCUUAUGUCUCAGAGAAUCCAAUGAUUCCCGAGGGUUUUCAAGUCCUCCAACAAUCUUAUGUCUCAGAGAAUCCAAUGAUUCCUGAGGGUUUUCAAGUCCUCCAACAAUCUUAUGUCUCAGAGAAUCCAAUGAUUCCCGAGGGUUUUCAAGUCCUCCAACAAUCUUAUGUCUCAGAGAAUCCAAUGAUUCCUGAGGGUUUUCAAGUCCUCCAACAAUCUUAUGUCUCAGAGAAUCCAAUGAUUCCUGAGGGUUUUCAAGUCCUUAAACAAUCUUAUCAUGUCUCAGAGAAUCCAGUGAUUCCUGAGGGUUUUCAAGUCCUCCAACAAUCUUAUGUCUCAGAGAAUCCAAUGAUUCCUGAGGGUUUUCAAGUCCUCCAACAAUCUUAUGUCUCAGAGAAUCCAGUGAUUCCUGAGGGUUUUCAAGUCCAACAAUUUUCGAUGUCCGUGAGACAAACGCCAUAACUAAAUGUGGCGUUCUCUUCUUUAAAAUAUAAUGGUUCUCUCUGAGCAGGUUUCUUGGGGAGGUUUUCUGGAGGAAGUCUUAGUUUUGGUUCAAAGUAAUAAUCACUCUAAAUACAGCCAGCUGACAAAAUCCAAACAUUUAUUUCUCCAAAAGCUCUUGCAGAUAAUCUUUUGCCUCUGACAGCUUUGGCUUCUCUUCUCCCAUAUAUUUCCCAUUCUUUCUCCAAGCAUAUAUAUUAAUAGAGUAUGGUCCAAUUACUAUUUAGCCUCACGUGCUUGGGACCUCAGUGCAUCAACUCGAGCCUCAGUCCAUUACAACUAUUAUUUUUACUCCUUGAAUUUAUCCAUAUUCUUAUGUGUAAUGACACCAGUUUUUUUGUUAAUUUUUUUUAAAGCAUCUUUUGGAUUUACCUCUUCCUCCGCAUUCUCACUGCUCUGUCUUUAUCACCUCACACCUGGAAUGUUUCUUGCCAGAAAUUGUUAAUUGCCGCGUUCUUUCUCAUCUGAUUUGUCCUGCACAUUCAAACACUCUAGAUCUGUGAUUUCACGGCUUCGGACGUUUUCUCUAAAGAUCACGAUCACAGUCCAUCCAAGCCUCUCCAUUUGAGGGAACUUAGACCACGUCCUCCCACAAAUUAAGCACAAGUUCCUAAGGCAGCUUUUCGAAGUCACAGACCUUGCCCACAAAGCCAUCCAAUUGGCCUGCGGGCAAAGCAUCUGCGCAAAUCGGCGUCUGCGCAAAUCGGCGUCUGCGCAAAUCGGCGUCUGCGCAAAUCGGCGUCUGCGCAAAGCGGCGUCUGCGCAAAGCGGCGUCUGCGCAAAGCGGCGUCUGCGCAAAGCGGCGUCUGCGCAAAGCGGCGUCUGCGCAAAGCGGCGUCUGCGCAAAUGCUCCCUUUAGCUUUAAAGGCCGGAGAUAACCCGGGGCGGGGCGUGACAAGCGGCGCCCCCGGGGGCGUUCAAGCCUCUGAAGGGCGGGGCGGCGUGCUGCGCAGGCGCGCUCGCCUCAGCCCAUUCUAGCCCAGACCCACCUUUCUUUUUCCCCGGGCGGCCGUUGGAAAAUGGCGACGGUCUCGGAGCUCAAAGCAGUUUUAAAGGAUACACUGGAAAAAAGGGGUGUACUGGGCCAGUUAAGAGCAACGAUCAGAGCUGAAGUCUUCAAUGCCCUAGAUGAUCAAGGUGAAAAACCUCCACCCCUAUCUCAUGAAAACCUCCUAAUUAAUGAAUUAAUUCGGGAGUAUUUGGAAUUCAACAAAUAUAAUUAUUCAGCAUCUGUCCUUACAGCUGAAUCUGGUCAACCAGUAAUGCCGUUGGACAGACAAUUUCUCAUUAAGGAGUUAAAUAUAUAUGAAGACUCGAAUGCAAAAUCAGUGCCUCUUUUAUAUGGAAUUAUUUCUUAUUUCUUACAUGCGAAUAAAGAUGGCUUCCAAACCACUUUCAUGAAAGGAUCUUCACUGCAGCUUCCAAGGUGAAAUCUGGGCGGCAGGCAGCCCAGUUCAAAAAAAAAACAAAAACCAUGAAAUGUGUUUUCAGAUAAUCAUUUAGAAAGAUGGUGGAUAAUGAGAACUAAUACAGAAGAAUCAUCAUGUUUCUCAUGCUAUGGAGAAAUUAUAGCUUUCAUUUGGCGCAAAUACACAUCUUUUAAUUUUCAUAUGUAUAUAUUAAGUUGCUAUUUAUUAUUAUAAUGUAACAUUAUAUAAGUAAUAUGUACAUUUUAUAGAAAUGCAAUUUUUAAAACAUUUAGCCAUUUCAUGUUCUACAUUUGUGAAUAAAGGUUAUCUUUGUCAUCUAGCUUACUGAAUUUGAUUUGAGGAAGAUAAGUAUUUUGCUUUUAGGCAACAUUUUAGGAGACUCCAAGUAGAAAAUGAAAAUUGCUCCAGUUUAGCAUGAAACUCCCCUCUUGCCUUCCCAUGCCUUAUUGGAAACAUAGUUAUAUUCACUAUAUUUCCUCUUCCAAUUAAAAUUAUGUAUCAUAGAAAAAGUACUUCAGAAUACUUACACUUACAUAUAAAUACAUAGGGAGCAAAAUUAAAGGCAAAGGUAAUAAUAGUAAAAUCAGAAAAACUAUAGUUAAUCAGUAAUUUCUGAAAUAUAAAGCAGUUCUUUUCAACUUUCAACAGUUAAAAGGUUUUUAAAAUUGAUUUAGAAUAGGAAUUUUUAUUGUUCAUCAGUCUCUUUCCUUAGAAAAGUUAAUUCUUUAGUUGGAAGGUUAAUUUAAAAGUUGGACAAAGAACUGGUUCUUUACAUUUUCAUUAAAUAAAACAUAAGGACCAUUUUGUAAUAUGGACAUGUGAAAUUACAGGCAUGAAAGGACAGGUUUUGGAUUAAAAUAUUAAGAAGUGUUUAAAAAAUAGCUUUUUUUUAUGUAGUCCUUAAUUGUAUAGGUAAAGGAUGAAAUAUCAAAGUGCCUAUCCUAUACCCACAUCUAGAAGUCUUCAUUUGGCAUCACAAUUGGAAGUAUUAUAAAAUUUUCUCACAAAGCUAGCUCUUCUAAAAUUUGCUUUUUCUAACAUUCAUUAAAUUAGUACCAUGUUUAAUGUCAAAUUAAUAUUUUCCCAGUGACUGUGGAAUAUAUCCGAUUGCUACAAAGUAUGGUGCCUGACUAGCAGAAGUUAUGUGCAGUGUAAUAAAAGUAAAAUUUUGAAAUAUCUCUUUACUGUAGGGAAAUUUUAACCUAAUGGGAAAUCUUUGGAUUUGUUGUUGUUGUUGUUAAGAGCUUAAUUCAUUCAAACAAGAUUCCUUCCAGUUGAAAAUGCUUUACACUGAUUUUAUAUUUGAUGAUAAUUGGUAAUGUUUAGUAUUUGGAGCUUAACAGAUCCAUUAAAACAAUUUUUUUAAGUGCUACUAUUAGCCAUAAUCUUAUAAAUCAUCAGAUUUUAAGUAUAUCAGUUUACUGUACAAUUAAGAACUUAAGUAUGGAUGAUUGAAUAAAAUCAUAUUAAGAUACAAGAGAAAUAGUUACUAUUUUAAAAUGAAAUGUGUAUUAUGUAAUUACAAUUGUGUUCUGUUGUAUUAUAUGUGUGAGUAUAAAUGUCUGGAUUCUUCCCAGAAGAUUAACAUCAAGCUUCAAGGAUGUUGCAGUGAAUUUACCUCAGGAAUUGCAAUCAUGUAUAGGAGUAGAUUCAAUCAAAAUUAAGUACUGUAAUUUUGGAUGUCAAAAUGGAGGCUAAAUAGCAAUAUGCCACAUAGAGACCCUAAUGCUUUCAGAUGCAAUGUUUUGUAACAAUUUUUAUACUAAGAUGAAUUUGAUAAUAGAAGUAUAUCUUUCAAUAAAUAAGGUUAAAAUACUAUUUUGUAAUCUUUGUGUAGCCUUUGUUCAAAAGGACAUUUGUGUUAUUGUUCUGGCAUCAAGUCACUAUUUUGGAAUAACUGUAAACUAGAUUCUGACUAUAUUUUACUAUUCCAGAGUUCCUUUAAUCCCUGUUUUUGUAUCAACUUUUCUUCCAAUUGUUUUAAUAAAUUUCUAUUUACCUUAGUCGUAGCCACUAAAAUUACUAUGUUGAAGAUAAU
rnacentral:lncRNA from 1 species